CUCCUGUCUUCCUCUGCCUCCCGCAGUUUGGUCAGACUCAUGCUGGUAGCUUCGAGAACACUGUCCCACCAUCUCGUCCUCUGUCGUCCCCUUCUCCUUGUGCCCUCCAACUUUCCCAACAUCAGGGUCUUUUCCAGGGAGUCUUCUCUUCUCAUGAGGUGGCCAAAGUAUUGGAGCCUCAGAUUCAGGAUCUGUCCUUCCAGUGAGCACUCAGGGCUGAUUUCCUUAAGAAUGGAUAGGUUUGAUCUUCUUGCAGUCCAUGGGACUCUCAAGAGUCUCCUCCAGCACCAUAAUUCAAAAGCAUCAAGUCUUCGGCGAUCAGCCUUCUUUAUGGUCCAGCUCUCACUUCCAUACAUCACUACUGGGAAAACCAUAGCUUUUACUAUACGGACCUUUGUUGGCAAGGUGAUGUCUCUGCUUUUUAAGAUGCUGUCUAGUUUCUACUAUCUAUUUGCUUCAUUUUCCCUCCUUUCUUUUGAAAGAACAUCUUUAUAACAUCAGGCAGCUUUCUCAUUCCAGGCAGUGAUGGUCUCAUGUAACUUCUAAUAUUUGCUCUAGAAUUCUGGUAUUUCUGGAAUGUGCAUGAUAAAAUAAAUUGCUCUAUUUGGAGACACUCCUUGAAAAAACAAUUCAAACGGCUUUUCUGUAUCCAAAGACAGCUGCCAUUUUUUUUGCUCCAAUCUCAGAGGUAUCUAAGGUUGGAAGGUCUCUUUUGAAUUUAUUUUAGCAUUCUACAUUUGUUGCUCAUGUGGCCUGCAUUUGCUGACUCUGGUGUGCCAGCCCUGGUGACUGUUUUCUUUCAAGCAGAUGUGGGAUUUAAUUUCAAACAUAUUAACAGGCCUCCCUGUUUAAUUUUAGAAACCUUCCACAAUAAACAAAGCAGCUUGAUCUCAUAUCUUAAGCAAACGUGAGAGACAAUGGGAUUGUAGCAAUUGGAUUUCAUCAGUAUCUAUUUGUGAAGAAUAGCUUUUAUAAAUGUUCAGAAUGCAGUAAUUAUCCCCUAGUCCUGCAAUAACUAUGUCAGCAGUUCAGAAAGGAAGGAAUGUUUAUGGUAAACUAAAGUACACUGAAUAUAGAUAAAGCAUGUGUGUAUUGGAUUUGCGCAAUUGCUUCUCCAAUUAUUAUUAUUAUUAUUUCAGUCAAUUUAUAACCAGCUCUUCCAGAGGAGCCUGGAGUGGCAAGCACAUCAAUAUUGAAAACAUUUUUAAGGCAUUAUAAAAAACAGUUAAAAAUAAUCUCUGAACAAGUGAUUUCAGGGUUGCCAAGAAGAGUAUCUUUAAUCAUCAAAUGCCUGGGUAAACAGAAAUGUUUUUAGAUGGAGAUAGACACACUGCACCAGGAAGGGCUUUCCAGAAAUGGGGAACCACCACGGAAAAGGCCCUGUCAUGGGUCCAUGCCAAUGGGACAGUCUCCAGUGGCAGCACCACCACCAAGACCUCACCUCAUGAUCUGAGGGUCAGAGAGUGUGUCCUCCCUAAAAGAGGGGACGUAUUGCGGUGAGAUCUGGAGACUGACCUCUUGGUUGUGGGUGGGUCCAUUGGAUAGCCACAACACCUGAUUGGUAGGUCCCUCGUUGCUGGGUUUAAUCUGGCCAAUGGGGUGCAGUCUAAAUGGAUCGAGGGACCUAUAUAUACCUAUGCACAUGACCCAGAGCUUCCUCUUUCGGCUUGUGCAUCGGAACACCCGCCCACCUCUCCCUAAUUUUAGGGCCUUUUGCAAUUGACCUUGCUAUGCCGUCGUGUGUCAUUGGGACAGGGGCACGGCAGGAAUUUCCCCCACUUGGCUGAUUGGCGGUUGCCAUUUGAGUUUCGCCUGCCGUGUAGCAAUUCGUCACAACUUGUAAGGUUGCGGAUAGACUCUGGUUCAGGUGAUAGGGAAGGGAGAACGGUCUUGCCAUCCCUAUGUGAAGGGUAUUCCAUUAAAGGAAUCUAGGGACUCAACUUGGUUUGGCCAACCCCCGAAAAAGGGUUGUGCCCAUGCCUGAGUCCAGGGGAGCAUCUGGGCAGUGGACAGAGUCUGUUCCCGGGCUUUUCACCUUCCUCAGGUGUUCACCCUUGGCUGACCUAUGAUAGAGCUCUGGGUCAGCGCUACCUGCAAGGGUGCAGGGAGCUAGUCGAACCAGAGCCUAUGCAACCACUCACUUUUCUGUAAUCAAUAAAGUUGUGGCCUAAAUUCUGCCAAAAACCAAAACUAAAAUUUGAGUCAAAUGUGUCUUUAUUUAGGAGGGAGGUCUCUGGGUGUGAACACGCAAAUGCUUUUAUCUGGAUUUUUUUCUGGGCGAGAAAUGUGGCUCAGUUCUCAUUUAAAAGUGAACUUUCCCAAGUUAUGCUUUCCAAAACAAUAUGCCAACUGAAACACACAUCUCUUUAAAUUCUCACAUCUCUGAAUUUUGUGGUGCCGUUCUCCAGUCAGGUAAUGUGUACAAAAUGUAUUGUUAUUGUUGUUUAGUCGUCUUAGUUGUGUUCGACUCUCUGUGACCCCAUGGACCAGACCAUGCCUUGGAAACUCUCAGUUUCUUCUCAAAGCUUAUCCUUUUUUAUGUCCAUGGAAUUUUCUUGGCAAAAUACUGGAGUGGUUUGCCAGUUCCUUCUCCAGGUGGAUCACAUUUAGUCUAAACUCUCGGCUAUGACCUGUCCGUCUUGGGUGGCCCUGCAUGGCAUAGUUCAUAGCUUCUCUGAGUUAUUCAAGCCCCUUCACCCCUUAUUCAAGGCAGUGAUCCAUGAAGGGGACAAAAUGCAUAUACUAGUCUAAUGUGUGCAGAAACAUGCAUAUCUUAUUGGGGGAAAGCCCUGGAUUAGGGAAGGUUGCUCUGCAAAAACAUGUAUACAGUAUUAGGCAAAAUUCCACGCAGAAACGUAGGAGAAAUUCAUGCUAAAAUGCUGAUGACAUUAAAAACGAUCCUUAAACUGAUAUGGAAAUGUGGAGAAUUGGAUUUAAGAUUAGAAAAAUGAGCAACAGAGAAAAACUGACAUUGACAGAUUCACACACACCUAGCUUUGAUCUGCCUGGAGUGCUCUGGUCCAUGGGGUCACGAAGAGUUGGACACGACUAAACGACUAAACAACAACAACAAGCUUUGAUCUACCAAGGAUAACUUUAGACUUGGAUGUAAUGGACAGGGCAAAAUAGUGGAGACUGUUUAAUAUGGGGCUGUUUUUCACCAUUCUUUUAAAGAAGGUAUAGGAAGAGUAGGCCCAGUCUCUUUACUCCUGGGAUUAUUUUCUCUCAGCCUUGUAGGACGGGUUUGGCAGAAUGGGAUCAGUAACCCCCAUGCCCAGCUAAUAAAGGUGCUUAUUAGAAAGGAAGGUCUCUGUUAUUGACUGAAGUCCUACCCUGGGCCAGCAGGGGGAUACUGUAGAUAGUUUUCACUCAGGUCCACAUAUGCAAAUAAGGAAUUGAAAGUAACGUUCAGUGAUUGGAUAGUUACAGAAAGUUGUUACUGUUGCUUUGUAGUUGAGCUCUAUAUAAGCAGGUUGGCUGAACCCUUCAGUUCUGUUCUGGGCCUGAGAAUAAACAAGAGCUGUUUGAAGAACUGCUGUGUCGUCUGAUAUGUUCACCCAUAACUUAACAGUCUAAAAUCUUGGACUCCACAAAGAUAGGAUUAUUGAUACCACCAUGGAAAACUAAGGAGGAGACUUAAGUUGCUAUCAGUGGGGCCUGGAAACGUAGUUUAACUGAAACAGUUGAUGGCUGGACAUCAUUUGUGACUGGUAAGAGGAGCUAUAAAAUUCAUUCAACAGCUAAGAUGAAGUAUAGCCAAAAUUUGCUCGGCAUGCAGCUAAUCCUCUAUGCAAUAAAGUGAAUGCUUUCUGAUGCAAUUUGGGGGUUUGUGUUUCAUUCCACUCUGUACUUACAGACAUGCACUGAACCAUGGCGGGAAAGACUAUGACUUUGAAUGAAUGUCUGGCAAGGUCUCUGCUAAGCAGGAGGAACGGAAAAAGAAAAACCUUCCAGUUGAAACUUGUCAUUAAAAAUAUACACUAGGAGCUGAGGCUCUGUAGGUCUUAUUUUAACUAGUUUUUGUCCACCAUGCAAAAAACAAACUUUUUGGGAGCCAACAAGUUCUGAUUUUGAGAUAUGGGUGUGUCUGUGGGUUUUGUGACAUCACCUGGUGAUAUUUUUGUCCACUUGGCGAAAGUAAAAAUGGACCAUCACCUUCUUGUUAGGAUCAGCUGAUAUAACAAACAUGAAGAACUUUGAACGCAUUGUUAACAACAACAGCAAAAGCAAAAAUGAAUAUUGUUAUUGCCAUUAUUAUGAGUAACGUGCACCUCAUUAUGAUGGGUGGAGUGUGUGUGGAGAGAGGGUUUAAAGGCCAUUUGGCACAAUGAACAGCUUUAUUAAGAAUAAACUAAAACACAUUUUCAUGUAUGGAAAGCAAUUUCAGAGUUCAGUUAUAAUGCAAUCAGAGAGAUUUGAAGCAGAGCAUCCGUUCCAAACUACUAUUGGCCUUUGAAAAGCAUUCAGGCACCCAGUAAUGGAUGUGGUAAAUCUAUACAUUGAAGACAAAUAAAAUUGUGAAAUACAUAAAUGUCCCUACUAAGUUGUAGGUACGGCCCCCAAAUCUAAACCAAUUGGGAGAUUUGUGCCACCUUGAUUUCCAAAUCCUCUAAUGCUCACUGAACAAAGUACUUUCUAAAACUAGAAGCCAGCCUAUGAACUGGGUUCUUUCCCAUCGUAUGCCAAAACAGCCCUUCUUGAUUUUCAUCAAGACGGAAAAUAAUUGGAAAUAAUGCAAAAAGGGUUGCGGUUUGAGGAUGCCGUUCUGCCAAGGAAAUAAACUGUGUAGUGGAAAAUCUUUUAAAGAUUACACUAGCAAAAUGCCCAUCCUUAUUAUGCGUGUUGCAUGUGGAGGGAAUGGCAUUUCAGGGGCCCCUUGUGAUGGGACAAUGCUUUUCUCUGCAUUCUUCAUUGGUUGCCUGUUGCUGCAGAGCAGGCAGACUCCACCUUGUUGCCCAGACUCCAAAAUUGUCCCCAAGUGAAGGGCAAUAUUUUUGCUCCGUAGUGAGUCAUAGCCAUGCAUAGAACAUAGAAAAUUCUCUUAAGGUAAAGGUAAAGGGACCCCUGACCAUUAGGUCCAGUCGUCACAGACUCUGGGGUUGCGGCUCUUGUCUCGCUUUAUUGGCAUGACAAAGCCGCUUCUGGUGAACCAGAGCAGCGCACGGAAACGCUGUUUACCUUCCCGCUGGAGCGGUACCUAUUUAUCUACUUGCACUUUUGAUGUGCUUUUGAACUGCUAGGUUGGCAGGAGCUGGGACCGAGCAACGGAAGCCCACCCCAUCGCGGGGAUUCGAACUGCCGACCUUCUGAUUGGCAAGUCCUAGGCUCUGUGGUUUAACCCACAGUACCACCCGCAUCCCUCGAAAACUCCCUUAUACUGUGUCAAAACAUUAGUUUAUCCAUCUAUGUAUUGACUACCCCAGUGUCAGGCGGCAGAGGAACCAACCUCCAUGGCAGGUUGCCAGGAACAGGUAAGACGAGUAAAUUGAAUAAAACCAUCUGUUUUUAUUCAAUAUUUACAGAGAGAGGCUUGGGAAUGUAGCCUCUUGGAAUAAUGGCGUUGUCCCGAGUAAAUCUCUCCUCCCCUUCUCUGCCACUUCCUCAUUCAUCGUCUCUUCUACGGGUGGCGCUGAGGGCCCUUUGCUUCUGAGGCCUUUGCUUUCCUACUUUUAAGGCUCGCCGGGUUCUGGGAGAUGGUGGAUCCGGAAUGCUUUCUAGUGAUAACGUGUCAGCCAGCUGCUCCAGCUCUACCUCCUCUUCCUCUUCCAUUAUUUCUCAACUUUCCCCCUCAUCUUCCUCUGAGCUGUGAUCUCCCUCAAACCCCUGUUGUAAUUCUGAACUGUUUUCUGCUUCUCUGAAAGGGUCUGGCUGGGAAGGCAGUCUCCACCAUUCAUCCUCUGCCCAGUCCCUGACAUCCAGGGCUGGUCCACCCAUGAGGCAAUGUGACAUGACUGCCUUGGGCAUCAGGAUCCACAGGGCAGCACAUCUGGUCCUCAAGGAAUACAACUGCUGCAUCUCCCACAGUGGCAGGAACAGCUGUGAUGUGCUCUUUGGAGGCCAGAUCUACCAACUCAGCAGAAGUCCCUUCCCAACAAAUGCUGCCUCCACAGUGGCCUCUUGGCCAAUAAGAGGCACUGCUGGUCUCCUCUCACCCCAACAGAGGAAGUGGUGAGAGCUUCCCUUUGGAGUCUGCUGGGGUCUGUCCUCAUCCAGCAUGCUUCAGAGUGGGCCCCUCUCUGCCCCCAUCAAUGGCCUUUGCUUCCUACUUCAACCAUUACGUCAGGUUGAUAUGAGUCCCCUCCUUGAUAAAAGAAGGGUACGAACCUCCUUGGUACAUAUGCAGGGGUUCUUUGGGUCCAACCCACUGCCUUGUAAAGCGUGUUCUCCCUCAUGGAGAGCAUGGGUUGCGGUUGGGGAUGACAAGGCACCUCACUGUUGCUGGGCAAAAGAGUUUGGCCAUCUUUAAGCAGGGGCGGGCUGUUACUGGGGAGAUUUAUAUGUUGCCAUUUAUUGAUUGACAGCCCUAUUUGUUAAAUACACUGCACGCAGCGAGGAACUUCCUCUUUUGCUGCUUUCUUCGGAUCACCCGCCCUCCCUUCCCUAAUGUUAGGCUGUUUGCUUGACCUUGCUAUGCCUGUCAUGGGGUCGUCUGCUUUGGGGCAGGGGCCCGGUAGGAAUUUUGUCCAUUUGGCUGAUUGGCUGGUGCCAUUUGGUUUUUGCCUACUGCGUAGCAAAUCGCCACAACUUGUAAGGUUGCGGUUAGGCAUUGGUUUGGGAAUUGGUUGGUGGAGGGGUAUGGAUUCGGCUGUGCCUGCCCCUCCAAAAUGCUGCUGCUGCUGCAAGGGUUUUCCAUUAAAGGAACCCAGGGGCUCCCCAUGCUUUUGUCCGAAACCCCCUGGCAAGGGGCUAGGGCCACGCAAGCCCCUGGGAGCAUUCUGGGGAGAGGUGAGGCACGGUUCCCAGUCCUGUCUCUCUCCCCAGGUGACUUACCCUUGCUGACUUCACGGGGGGUGCGAAUGUCAGAGCUGUCCCCGUGCGGGGUCAGUUAGUGCUACCAAUGCCUAAGCAACCACUCACAUUGCUGUGAUUUGAAUAAAGUUGUGGCCAAAAUUAUGCCAAAAACAAAAAUUAAGUGUCAGUUGUGUUUUUCUUUGGGGGGUGUCUUGGGGACCUCGAUGAGCAAAGGCUUGAAUGUUUAUAAAAAGCUUGAGAAAUCAUCUAAGUCAUGGGGAUAAAGUCUGGACAAUCAUCAAAGUCACUAAAAUGUGAAGGCACCAUGACAAACUUUCGAAGAUGCAUCUGCUGAUGCAGCCGUCCUGAAUUCCAUUUGUGCUUGAAGUAACAAGUUUACCUAAGCAUAUUGCUUAGCCUAGAUCUUUGUAAGGUCUAGGUUUAGAAGUUACACUGGAGAUAUCUACACUGCAGACUUAAACCAGUUUAACAGACAUUUCAAGGAAACUGGAAUUUUGUGUGUGGUGGAGAGGGUCCAAGAAACUCUAUCAGAUUCCUCAAGACUUCACCAAACUCACAUUCCCAGAAUUCCUUGAGGGAAACGAUGACAGUUAGUGGUAUCAGCAAUGCCCAAUAAGAAGAAUGUUUACCCUUCAAUGAUUAAUAACAACUUGAGCCUAUAUCCACUGCUUUGGAUUAUUUUCCACUUGAGGGCUUAUAAAAGCAGCAGAAAUAAAUGAAAACAUUAUUGUAAUUCCACCUUCUGGGCAUGGCAAAGCAUGAAGCACAGAGCAAUCUCCCCAGCCUUGUGAGAUAGUGACAUUACCAUUACAUAAUAAUUGCCUGUAUGUGUGUGGCACCCUCUGGUAAGAAUCCACUUGGUAAAUAAAGAUAUCUGUGCACCCAUUCGUUGAGAUGCUGCUUAUAAUUUCAUGCCUUAAUGCCUUUAUAAACCUUCCAGUCCAAGGCAAGCAACCUUAACCUUUGUAAUGAGAUUUCAGCAAGAUGGAGAUAUGAAUUUAACAGAGUCCUGUGCUGGUUAAUAUUAAAGAUUCUCAAAUGUCAUGCCACAAAAGUAUAGAAAACUUAUGUUAGACUCUACAUCCCAGCAGCUAUUUUGGAUAUACUUAAAAGAUUUUAAUCUCUCUUAAAGCACAUUUAAGAAGUGCCAGAAGAAGGCCCAGUUAAAACACACAGUUGUUCUUGAGCCAGUCAUAAUCAUGGUUGGUUGGGUUUUUUUUAAAGGCAUGUUUACACGCACUAAAAUGUGACUGCAUAUUCAAUGCAAGCCCAUUGGAAGUGGCAUUAGAUGCUUAUGACCUUGAAAUAGCACAGGAUUUGCCUGUGGGAUCCUGAUUACAUGCACAGAUCUCCUUACUAGUUAAUCCUAUUCUGCUGCUGGGGUAGAUGGGUAAAUUGACACAUGCACCACCUUAAAUAGGCAUUAUUUGCCCACUCCUGGAAGGCCACAUAUAAGGCCACUCUAUUGCAGAUAUUAACAUGGCACCGCUUGAAGUGGCUUGCUGCGUAAAAAUUGAUUCCUUUUGGAAUAAAACAUUACCCAGGCACAUAGGUUUGACUCAAAGCUUUACAGUCAGACCUCUUCUUACGUCUGCCUCCACUUGUAUCCAUUUUGCCCAACGUCUAUGGCAAACCUGGAAGUAACCGGUGCACAUGCGCAGAAGCGGGUAAUUGCCACCCGCGCACAAUGACGCCUCUCCCAGUGACCCGUUUUGACCUCCGGACGGACCUCCGGAACGGAUUAUGGUUGCAGGUAGAGGUUCCACUGUAUUUGCAGAACUUUCUUCAAAACAGAACAAAAACAUCAGAUACAUCCAGUGCUUUUUUCAGGGGGUACUCAAGAGUACGCAGUACUGGCGCCCCCCCCCUCUUUUUUUGGUUAAGAAGUGUUGCAUUGACUGUAACAACUUCAUGGUGAGUUCUAACACCUUUUUUUCCCUUAAAAAAUUACUUUUCAGAUAUAUACAUUUCACUGAUUUUACAAUCAUUUUGACAUUUUAAAACUUGACUUCCUUCCCCCUUUUUCUGCGGUUCCUUAAAUUUAUUUUUAAUAUCUUCUGCAUAUCCAAAUUAACUUAACUUACUCAUUAUUAUUAUUAUUAUUAUUAUUUAUUUAUCUUCUUUAAAUAUAUACUCUUAAAUAUAUACUGCAGGUUAUUACAACAAUCCUUCCAGUGUUUUUAUCUGUUUACAAUUUAUCUGUAAAUAUUCAAUAAACCAUUUCCAUUAUUUUAUAAAAAGUUUGUUAUCUUGAUUUCUUAUUCUCCCGGUAAAGGUACCCCUGCCCAUAUGGGCCAGUCUUGCCAGACUCUAGGGUUGUGCGCUCAUCUCACUCUAUAGGCCGGGAGCCAGCGCUGUCCGCAGACACUUCCGGGUCAGGUGGCCAGCGUGACAAGCUGCAUCUGGCGAGCCAGCGCAGCACACGGAACACCGUUUACCUUCCCGCUGGUAAGCGGUCCCUAUUUAUCUACUAUUUAUCUAUUGCUAGGUUGGCAGGCGCUGGGACCGAACGACGGGAGCGCACCCUGCCGCGGGGAUUCGAACCGCUGACCAUGCGAUCGGCAAGUCCUAGGCGCUGAGGUUUUACCCACAGCGCCACCUGUGUCCCUUAUUCUCCCGGUAAGUUUUGCCAUUUCUGCAUAUUCCAUAAGUUUUUGCAUCCAUUCUUCUUUUAUCAGGACUUCUUCUUCUUUCCAUUUUCGGGCACUGACCACUCCCCACUUCAAAUGGGGGGCGCUUUUUGUGUGGUUGUGUGAAGCCCCCUGGCCCUACACAAUUCCCAAGCAAGUCAGACUGGCUUCGCCUCCCCAAGCUGGAUACCUGGAGGUUACCACCUAACCUCAGACAGUUAACCAAUCCCAGCUGGGGUGGUGUUGCCAGGGGAGUUGACCAGGUAGGGUUAGGACCCUCCUGCACACACAAGAGAGGAUGGAACUUACCUGAGAGUCCUCAGUCAGCUCCAGAACUUCUGGAGAGUGGACAUCCUUCUUCUUUCCAUUUUGGGGCAAAUAAAAUCAUUGCCACUGUAGCCGCAUACAUGAAUAAGUUUGUAUACAAUUUAGGUAGUUCACUUCGACACAAAUCUUUGUGGGGUCCUGAUCCAUCUUACAAUUAGCAUGUCAGGAAGAGGAAAGACCCCCAAAUCGUCCCAAUUCACCUUAUUGUUCAGCCCCCAAACAGAGCAAAGGCACACUCCUAGUACAGUGGUACCUCGGGUUAAGUACUUAAUUCAUUCCGGAGGUUCGUACUUAACCUGAAACUGUUCUUAACCUGAAGCACCACUUUAGCUAAUGGGGCCUUCUGCUGCUGCCGUGCCGCCGGAGCACAAUUUCUGUUCUCAUCCUGAAGCAAAGUUCUUAACCUGAAGCACUACUUCUGGGUUAGCGGAGUCUGUAACCUGAAGCGUCUGUAACCUGAAACGUAUGUAACCCAAGGUACCACUGUAUAUACAGCACCUCUGAGAUUCACUUUUAGUUCUUUUUUCGCCCUGUUCAACCCAUUUGAUCUUUUGUGUGGACUCAAAAUUGUGGCGAUAAUCUUAUUUUCCUCAUCUUUGCAGGACAUUGUUUGUUUACUGCUUCUUUUGAAGUGCUUUGUUGCUACAGUGAAAUGCUGAACAAAAUGAUCAUUGUACUGGAAAGCACUUGGCUGUGAGCUGCUUAGUGCUUCUUGUCAAUCUGAAGCAGGCAGUGGAACAACUUCCAGGCCUUGUGCUAUUCCCAUAUGUAUGGCAGACUUUGCCAAAAAGCCCGCUUACAUAUUUCAGUCCAUGAUACCAUAAGUCAGCCAAUCCUCAGAAUGCUCUACAAAACCAUGAAGCUCUGGUAGUUAGUAUAUUUCUACUUCAAUCACUGCUUGGUGCCAUUUAAAACAUAGCAUGGGGUGUGUGUGUGUGUGGGUGGGUGGGUGUGUGUAUUCUCUGUAAGGCAAUUUUAGGCUACCCCAUGAAAAAACAAUUCUGUUUGGAAUGUGUCCACAGAAUCCUUCUCUUCCAGCUUUGGUCCUGGAUAUUAAGGUUCUACUCUAAAUAAUAAUAAUAAUAAUAAUAAUAAUUUUAUUAUUUAUAUGCUGUCCAUCUGAUUGGGUUGCCCCAGCCACUCUGAGUGGAUCCCAACAGAAUAUUAAAAACACAAUAAAACAUCAAACAUUAAAAACUUCCCUGGAUUGUCUGAUAUUGUCUGAUAUAUUAUAAUACUUGUUUAUUUCCCUAACAUCUGAUCUCAGGGCGUUCCACAGGGUAGGUGCAACUGCUGAGAAGGCCCUCUGCCUGGUUCCCUGUAACUUCACUUCUCACAGAGAGGGAACCACUGGAAGGCCCUCGGAGCUGGACCUCAGUGUCCGGGCAGAAUUCUCCUUCAGGUAUACAGGGCCAAAGCCAUUUAGGGCUUUAAAGGUCAGCACCAAUACUUUGAACUGUGCUCGGAAACAUACUGGGAGCCAAUGUAGAUCCUUUAAGACCGGUGUUAUAUGGUCCGAGAAGCUGCUCCCAGUCACCAGUCUAGCUGCCACAUUCUGGAUUAGUUGUAGUUUCCGAGUCUCCUUCAAAGGUAGCCCCACGUACAACACAUUGCAGUAGUCCAAGCAGGAGAUAACCAGAACAUGCGCUGGGUGGGGGAUGCCAGGGGGGCCAUUUCCCCAGGAGUGCAAUCUGGGGUCCCCCGCGAACCAGGUGUCCCCCUCAGAGCUCCCCAUUGCUCCCUGCUGGUGGCAGGGGCUGGAGAGCCCAAAGAGUCCACACGCUGCCCCUGCCUGGCACACAAGCAUUCACCCAUCAGCAGUGGGGGCAUAGCUGUCAACUUUUCCCUUUUCUUGCGAGGAAUCCUAUUCAGAAUAAGGGAAUUUCCCUUAAAAAAAGGGAAAUGUUGACAGCUAUGAGUGGGGGAUGGGGAACUCGGAGGGCGUGUUUGCAGGUGGGAGGUUGAUCUGUUUGGUGCACCCCCUUAAUAUUGGGGGGUUGGCCCCCUGUCCACAAAUAUUGAGGGGGCCAAAGCCCCUUCCACCCCCUAUAGUUAGCGCCCCUGUGUAAGUGGAAUUCAUUCUGCUUUCACAAGGAACUGCUUAGCACUACUUUUGAAUAAGCUCUCAGCAAUGCUGGGCCCUUUCUGCUAGUAUUCUACAGUGGUACCUCGGGUUACAUAUGCUUCAGGUUACAUACACUUCAGAUUACAGACUCCGCUAACCCAGAAAUAUUACCUCGGGUUAAGAACUUUGCUUCAGGAUGAGAACAGAAAUUGUGCUCCAGCGGCGCAGUGGCAGCAGAAGGCCCCAUUUGCUAAAGUGGUGCUUCAGGUUAAGAACAGUUUCAGGUUAAGAACGGACCUCCGGAACGAAUUAAGUUCUUAACCCAAGGUACCACUGUAUUUGAAAGAAAAGGCAGAGAUAAAAAUGUAAAAAAAAAAUGAUUCAAUGACUUCUUCUUCUUCUUCUGAUACAUUACUGCCACACCUUCAUUCAUAAAUUCACAAAAAUAGCGAAGCAGACAUACAGUAUUUUCUCAAAUGCUUUAAAUAACGAUAAAAGUCCUUGUCGCCAUUAUCACCUUUCAGGACCGAUUCAAGGCAAUCUUGUCACAAUGCACAAACCAUCUUGAAAUGAUUGUGAUUUUGUGCAAGAAACCUUUCCGUUGAGCUGUGACCUAAUUCUGAAUCAACAGUGGUCUUUAAAAAACGCUAGAGAUGUGUAGAAACAAAUAUGCUCACCCUCUGAUCAGUGAGACCUAUGAGCAAACAUGCACAGAAUUAGGCUAUAAUUUAUCUAGAUUAAUAUUUGAAAAGUGAGGUUAGGCUCCUCAGUUCUGCCUCGUUUGAAAAUUCACACAGAAAUGCCAGUUUCUAUAGAUCAUUGACCAUGGUAUAGAACUGCAUGUGUUUUUGUAUGGUAUGAGUCACAUAGUAUCUGAAGUUUUCUGUCUCGUCUCAGGAUUUUGGAAUAUAUCAAGUAUUUAAAGGAUAAGGUCCUCAGUGUAACGCGAUUGUAACCUGGUGACUCCUCCCUGUUCCUGCUACAUCUGCAAAUUGACUUCUUCUGGCACCCAAUUUUACCUUGAUCAUUUUGUUCAUGUGCUUCUUUCCUGACUAUGACAUAGAUCAGAACCCCAGACCAAGAAAGCUGAAAUGAUAAAACCAAUUCCAAGUUCACAGGGCACAGUAGUGAGCGAAGAAAUGAAAUUAAACAGCAAGUCUCUGUUGGAUUUGAAUAGCGGAAGAGUGAAAAACUGUUUCACUACUUUAAUAAAAUGAUUUCACACCACAAUAAAUGGACAUGUAACUGCAAUUGACAAAGCCCAGGCCUGCAUACAAGUUCAGUUUUCUUUGAAAAGUUGCAGCGUUGUCUAGCUUGUGACCUUCAUUUUGAAGAUAAACAAUCCCUUUCUGGCAAAUUGAGCUGGCUUAUUGAGUUUUCUUUUCCAUCUGCUUUUCUUCACUUCCUUUCAGAUAGACAGGAUUAUUAGGUAUUGAGCAAUUAUACUAUUAGGUGUGUCCCAAGAUGAUUGGAAUCCAUCUUCAGGCUCUCUUUACUUGUUGCGCAGUAAUCAUAUUUUUCUUCAUGGAAACAUGAAUUGUCACUAUGGCCUGACAGGCAUUGUGGGAAAAUAUUGCCCAGUAUUUCAGAUUUGCCAACAUUUUCUGAUUCUGCCAUUCAAAUUUUAAUGAGAAAUUCAAAAUUCAGAUUAGUAUUUGGACAGUUAUUCAUUCAUUUAUUUAUUUGUUUAUUACACGCACAUGCACACACCCCCAACAACAACUUGCAUUUUAUUGAAAAGUUGUUCGGUUAGAACAGCAGCAUCGUAUAAUGCAAAACUGCCUUGAGGCAAGGGUAGCAUUUGGGGGUGUGUGUGUAGGAUCUGGUGAAGAUGGGAGCAGCCAGAUGAUGCUCUGAGCGACUUUCCCAUCACAUCUCGUUGGAAAAGAGUGCUUCUCAUGUUCUUGCUUGAAGCUUUUGCUUCCUACUGCCUCCUCUCUGCCAAUCCUUGUUGGCAAAGUGGGAGGGGAUGGAUAGUGCUGCAGGAAGGGCAAACUUAGGAAGCAAAUUCAUUUCAGCUUUAGUCAGUUCUCUGUAUGGACUCUUAAUUUGUAGCUAUUCCUGGAGCAGCUGGCAUAUAAAAUUAGGAUGAUGACUUCUCUUUGACUUGAACUUUGCAGAAUUCCGUAAGAAUACUUGGGCCUGUGCAGUGUGUCAGGAUUCCUAGUUAUGUUUGAAGCACUUUUUGUUAGAUGAUUUAUUCAUUCCUUUUUUAACACAUACAUCUAUACUGAUCUGGUAAAUGCACAAAAGCUAUAUUUUCCAGAAAGGCUUCUUAAUAAAUAUCAACACAAUCACCAAUGUUUGGCAUUAGAUUGUAGGAUUUGAAAACUUGUGGUUUGACUAUGCUUUUAUUAGUGACAGGCCAAAGCAUGGAGUUUGAAUCUUUGCCUAGAUGUCAAGUAAUCGGCAGUUAAGGUACAUUCAUCCUUUAACACAGCCAAACCACUUAGAGGAUGCAAGCCAAAUUGUGAAGACUUGGCUUCCAAUUCAAAGCACCCCAAGGCUUCAAGUAACACUAAAACGUAAGCUCAGUAAUGGAGGGGAAGUAAAAAAUGGGUCGAAAAGGAAGUGGUACCAAUUGUAAAUCUAUUAUAAAAAUGCUCAAGUACUGGUAAUCGUGGGCCAGAACUUAAGACGAAUUUGCAUGUUAUCUUUUGUAUUAGAGACUUUAGCCUUCAGCUUAUUUGAUCGUUGUUAGCCGCCCUGAGCCCAGCUUUGGCUGGGGAGGGUGGGAUAUAAAUAAAAUUUAUUAUUAUUAUUAUUAUUAUUAUUAUUAUUAUUAUCUCCUGUUCCUUGAGGACUCUGAGCUAGAUUCAUGUAGUAGUAGUAGUAGUAGUAGUAGUAAUAAUAAUAAUAAUAAUAAUAAUAAUAAUAAUUUAUUAUUUAUACCCCGCCCAUCUGGCUGGGCUUCCCCAGCCACUCUGGGCGGCUUCCAAAAAAAUAUUAAAAUACUGUAAUACAUCAAACAUUAAAAGCUUCCCUAAACAGGGCUGCCUUCAGAUGUCUUCUAAAAGUCUGGUGGUUGUUGUUCUCUUUGACAUCUGGUGGGAGGGCGUUCCACAGGGCGGGUGCCACUAUCGAGAAGGCCCUCUGCCUGGUUCCCUGUAAUUUGGCUUCUCGCAGUGAGGGAACCACCAAAAGGCCCUCGGCACUGGACCUCAGUGUCCAGGUAGGACGAUGGGGGUGGAGACGCUCCUUCAGAUAUACUGGACCGAGGCUGUUUAGGGCUUUAAUGGUCAGCACCAACACUUUGAAUUGUGCUUGGAAACGUACUGGGAGCCAAUGUAGGUCUUUCAAGACCGGUGUUAUGUGGUCUCGGCGGCUGCUCCCAGUCACCAGUCUAGCUGCCGCGUUCUAGAUUAGUUGUAGUUUCCAAGUAUACCUGCCCAUGGCUUCAUCUGGUUCUGCCUUGACCCAGGGAAUGGAAAACACACAUGUGUAAGUAUAAAGAUGUGGACCUUUAUGCUCAUGCAUUUUACAGGCAAAAGAAACUUUGUAUGCAUGUGCCAUACAUAAGUGAUGCUGUUUGUUUAUGCUUCUCAACAAGGCAUGCAACAUGGAGGGAAGCUUGCACAAAGAGCAGGUUUGUAAUGGGUGUGUGUCAGUCUGAACUUAUUUCCAUGGUUUAUCGCUGUAGAGCAUGACAUUAAUAACAAGGUUGACAUAGCUCUAAUAUGACAGGAGACCCUCCAUGAUGAACUUUGGUGACUCUGGAACAAGCCUGACCCCAGCCUGCUCCAUUAAAGACAUUCAGGCAUAUUACUGAGUUCACCCACAACUGACCUAAAGAUUAACACAUGAAAAUUUAGUUGCCAAGUAUAGGAUACUCAACUCCUCAAUGGGAUCCACUCCCACAAUAGUAAGAGGAUUUGAAAUCAGAUAGCAGACAAAGAUGGCCAGGUACAGAUAAUGGUUCCCUAUCAAAGACUGAUCACAGAAGAAUUGAUGAGUAGAGACAUCACCUUGCCAACAAAGGUCCAUAUAGUAAAAGCUAUGGUUUUCCCAGUAGUGAUGUAUGGAAGUGAGAGCUGGACCAUAAAGAAGGCUGAUAGCCAAAGAAUUGAUGCUUUUGAAUUAUGGUGUUGGAGGAGACUCUUGAAAUUCCCGUGGACUGCAAGAAGAUCAAACCUCUCCAUUCUUAAGGAAAUCAGCCCUGAGUGCUCACUGGAAGGACAGAUCCUGAAACUGAGGCUCCAAUACUUUGGCCACCUCAUGAGAAGAAAAGACUCCCUGGAAAAGACCCUGAUAUUAGGAAAGAUUGAGGGCAAAGAAGAAGGGGACGACAGAGAAUGAGAUGGUUGGACAGUGUUCUCGAAGCUACCAGCAUGAGUUUGACCAAACUGCGGGAGGCAGUGGAAGACAGGAGGGCCUGGUGUGCUCUGGUCCAUGGGGUCAUGAAGAGUCAGACACGACUAAACGACUAAACAACAACAAUCAAAGACGAGGUGAAAACUGGGCAGGAAAUUCUGGGAGGAACUACGGAAAUCAUAGAAAUCACUCCGUUCACCUCCCCUCUCCACUAGCAAGCCUUGGUAAGAAGGUAUUCAAUCAAUCAAUCUUUAUUGCGGUCAAACACCAGACAGCGAAGUUAACAACAGCAACAUAUGCCACAUCUGCAUCAAGAAGCAGACGUAAUUAAAAAUUAUCUGUAAACUUAUUUACAUUGAAAAUAGCACUCCUUUAGGUAACGUCUAUAUUCCAGAGAUUAAAAUCAGUACUCAUUCACCAACCAUCACUGUCACCGCAACCUGUUUAGUCCUUGUUGCCAUGAAACAGCAAUUCGCGACGGAGCUGAUGAUAUCCAGAUCUUUAUCGGCAAGAAGGUAUUUAACAUAAAUUUCCUCUAAGCAGCCACGUAAUUUCCUUAAUAAUGGUUGAAUUAGCUCUCUUAGGGUAUCACGAUACAAUGGGCAGUAUAGAUAAAUGUCUCAUUAGAGUUGCAUGAGCAUAAUCUUUGUUCAACUGGGAUGCCAUGAUAGGUGAAGGUAAAGGGACCCCUGACCAUUAGGUCCAGUUGUGACUGACUCUGGGGUUGGGGCGCUCAUCUCUCUUUACUGGCCGAGGGAGCCGGCGUACAGCUUCUGGGUCAUGUGGCCAGCAUGACUAAGCCACUUCUGGCAGACCAGAGCAGCGCGCAGAAACGCCGUUUACCUUCCCGCUGGAGCGGUACCUAUUUAUCUACCUGCACUUUGACGUGCUUUCAAACUGCUAGGUUGGCAGGAGCAGGGACCGAGCAACGGGAACUCAUCCCGUCGCGGGGAUUCGAACCUCCGACCAUCUGAUCGGCAAGUCCUAGGCUCUGUGGUUUAGACCACAGCACCACCCGCGUCCCAUCGAGGGAUGCCAUGAUAUCUGCCCUCUAUUAGUGCUGAAGAAAGAUCAUUAAUGGGGCUCUGGAAAAUGCCCAACAAUGUUUAGGGUAAUCCAGUGCACCUACGUAAUAUGCUGGAUCGGAUCUUUGAGGUUCAUGUUGAGAUUUAUAAAUUUUAGAUCAGUUAAAAUCAAUUUGGGAUUCUGUGUCCCUGAUUCAUUCUUUAAUUAUAUUUCUGGCCCUGGCAGGAAGGUAUUAAAAAACCUCUUACAUUCAAAGCUUAGCUAGAUCUUCUAGCUCCAGCAGGACAGGACUUACACAGCACUUUCCAGGGACUCAGCUACAUUAGUAAACAAACAAACAAACACAUUUUAAAUGUGUUAUAACACUGUGACACCAGAUGGCGCUGUGGAGCUCCACAUUUUGGUAAUGUGAUUUCCCAUUAUGAGGUUUACAACAUGUUUUCCUGAAACUUUUUUUUUUUUUUAUGUGUCCAGAUCGAGCCCAGGACUCAACACACUUCUGCAACGCUUUAAGGACAGAUAUACUUUCCUGCCCCCUCUGCUCAAAGCUCACUUCUAGUGUGGGUUUAUGGCAAAACAGUCGUGCCCAUGUUUCUGUAGGCCUUUUACAGUAGUUAGGGAAUCGUUUGCUUCUUAAUCAAGGUGUGUAUGUAUUGCAGUUUGCUACCUGCUUAGCCUCUAACAUUGCUAUCCAAAGCAGCAUUUUUAUACUGUCACUCCUGUUUUAUAUAAUAAACCAAGCUUUCUUUAUUCCUCCGUGUGAGAGCAUAAGGUUAACAGAUCCAUAACAACCACACAUCAUAACUCCAGCAAAAGAUCCUAAACUUGUCAACGGUGUGUAUAUAAACAUACACGAGUGCGUACUGCGCACACGUGAAUCCAGAGUUCAGACACUUGCAACAGAUUCUCAUGGCCCUUUUGAUAUGUUGGCAAUCCACUUAAUCUGACUUAAUUUUAAUUUUUAAAAUACUGACCUAUCUUUAUGCAUGGUGCAACAUGCCUGCUGAUAAUUACUUGUUUAAUUUAUGGACUGCUGGGGGCAGGGGGAAUCUUCAGAAAUAGAAGAAAGAGGAACCAAGAGGAAAUGUGUGCAUUGCAGUUGAUUUUGAAGCAGUCAUCAAACAACAGCAGGCAGUUUGGGAUGACUUCAGCAGAUGAAAAAUUGUCAGGUAAAUAGAACUCCUCCACCAGACUUCCAUUUUCUUCCAGAGGGACACCUCUAAAACAAGGUUGGUGAACCUAUGACCCUCCAGGUGUGGUUGGACUCUCAGUCAGCAUGGACCAAUGGCCAGGGAUGAUGGGACUUGAAGUCGAGCAACAUCCGGAGGGUCACAGGUUUUCCAUCCCUGUCCUAAAAAGGAUGGAGGGUCUGGUUAAGCAAGAUGUAUCCACUUUAGACAGCAUCUUAAAAAGCAGAGACAUCACCUUGCCAACAAAGGUCCGUAUAGUAAAAGCUAUGGUUUUCCCAAUAUUGAUGUAUGGAAGUGAGAGCUGGACCAUAAAGAAGGCUGAUCGCUGAAGAAUUGAUGCUUUUGAAUUAUGGUGCUGGAGGAGACUCUUGAGAGUCCCAUGGACUGCAAGAAGAUCAAACCUCUCCAUUCUUAAGGAAAUCAGCCCGGUGAGAAGGUAAACGGCGUUUCCGUCCCAGAGUCGGCCACGACUGGACCUAAUGGUCAGGGGUCCAUUUACCUUUACCUUUAUGGCUAUUAACUGGACCAUAAAGAAGGCUGAUAGCCAAAGAAUUGAUGCUUUUGAAUUAUGGUGCUGGAAGGGACUCUUGAGAGUCCCAAGGACUGCAAGAAGAUCAAACCUCUCCAUUCUUAAGGAAAUCAGCCCUGAGUGCUCACUGGAAGGACAGAUCGUGAAGCUGAGGCUCCAAUACUUUGGCCACCUCAUGAGAAGAGAAGACUCCCUGGAAAAGACCCUGAUGCUGGGAAAGAUGGAGGGCACAAGGAGAAGGCAGAGGACGAGAUGGUUGGACAGUGUUCUCGAAGCUACCAGCAUGAGUUUGACCAAACUGCGGGAGGCAGUGGAAGACAGAAGUGCGUGACGUGCUCUGGUCCAUGGGGUCACGAAGAGUCGGACAUGACUAAACGGCUAAACAACAACAUCCGCUUUAGAGGGGCCAAUGGUCUGGCUCAACAUGUGACAGCUUCAUAUUAUCAUAUAAUCUGUUACCAGAGUGUAAUGAGACACAACCCAAAGUGCAUGCCGUAAGUUGCUUGUACUAGAAAAGCAGAAGAAAGUGUGGUGAGUGGGUCUGUAAGGAGUAGGUGAAAUUUUCAGAAGCAGAUUUAAAAAUAAAUAAAUGCAUGGUAUAUUCUACCACUGAUGUACAGUAGCUACUGACUGAAUUUAUUUAUUUUUGCUAUUGCGGGAUAUACAUAUUCCUUCCAUGUGCCUCACUGGAAAUCUGGAUAACUUUGAUUCCCUAAGAGCCUGAUUUGGGGAACAUGUUGAAGUUGGCUUUGUUGCUCUUUAUGAGCAGUAGCCAAGUUGCUGUCAUUGACCGUAAGUCAUUAAUUCUUUGUGAUGGACGUGAAGGUCAUUCCUUUGCACUGUUAGGGAAAACAGAGCCAGGCUUGCUUUUUCGAAAUACUGUAGGUGUUAACAGACAGCUAAAGCCAUAGGAUUUUCUAGAACUCUCUGUUCUGCAAACACACUUACCACAAUAUGCACACAUUAUUAGCAGCAUUUGACUGGGCUCAUUAAUGUGUGAUUUUGCGUUGCUCAUUUGCGCAUGUACGUAACAUUAACAGUGAUGUGAGGAGUUUCUCAUAGAGUACACUGGCUUUAAUAAAUGCAAUGCAAUGUCUGCAACAGAAACUUGCAGUAAAUAGAUACAAGAGGAGAUCUCACACCUUGCUCUUUAAACUCAACUGUGGAAUAACUCAAGAGGAAUUUAUGAUUAAAACCAUCAUGCCACUAAAAAUAUAAAGUCCUGGCAUCCAACAAAAGAAGGACUGAAGGCCAAAUUACAGGAAACUGCAAGCAUUUGUCUGGUAGGGAAACAAGUGCUUCUUUAAGUAAAAUGUUAGGUUUCAUGAAGCCUUUAAAGGGCAAGAAAGGCAAGCACUUGCCUUAGAAUCUUCCAUCGUUCAAAUUGAAAUGAUUUCUAGCCCUAUCACUUUUCUUAAUUUCAGCACAAUCCUCCUAACUCUUCAUCCGCGUAGCCAGAAGAGUAGCAUUCAAAUUUACAAAGCUAAGUAACACAUUUGGACCAUUGCUUGAUCUAGUAGUGCAACAAAAAUGGGUCACCUUCAAAAGAAACUGGAUAUUUUUUUUAAUGGGAGUAGACUAAAGAGGGGGAUUUAUUGACCCAAUGCAUCUCGGACCUUACUGGUCCGUCUUGAGGGGAAAUUUAGAAAAGAGUAAUUCAAAAUUCAGUUGUGCUACCUUUUCUGUUGGAUCAAUAAACCACAUUGUCUCCUCCCUCCUUUCUUGAUUUAGUGAACUCCAAAAUGUCAGGAGAAGGUCAGUAAUCCUUUUAACUGGAGAUGCCUAAAACAGCCUAGUACUUUCUGCAUGGAAGGUAUCGCUUCUCCACAUAAUCAAAUUCAGCUGGUUUAGUUUGGAAGUGAAAGGUGUCCACCCAUAACUAAAGGAAUUGUUUAUGCAUUUUCAGGAAAACUCCCUUGGCAUGAAGAAGAAUAUAUAUAUAUAUAAAGACCCCACACCCCAAAAAACCCCAAGUCUGAUGAUGGUUGAGCAACCUCAGUGGUCUCUAGGAGUUAUGGAAUAUUGUGUCUCAGUUUGGAAAAAAGAUAACAGAAAACCAAGGAAGAGAGGAUUGGUUCAGCCUUAGUCCCUAAAGCUUUUGAUACCCUGGAAGAUUGUAUGUUUGGAUGAUACCCUAAAGAGAAGAACUCCUGUUAGAGUGAGUGUAUACAUUGCAAUAUAUUGCUGUGUCCAAAUUUUGGCUUACAAAUAACUACUGAAAACAUAUUUAGCUAAUAACCUUACCUAUUAUUUUUCUCAUGGAAAACACCACAUGGUGAUCAGUACCUUAUUUUCUGUCUCUUUAGACAAUAAUUUGGCCUCAGAUAUGCCCUUAGGAACCAAUUAUAAUUGUGCCACACUCUAGAAUGUUCUUUAUAGCUAUGAACUCUCUGACCUGUGGGCUGUGACAUUUUCCGUGUGCCAGGAUUAUAAACCAUUUAGGAGGUUUGUGGGAAGUCUCAUAUUUUGUUGUUCUUUGGCACAAGUCUUAACGCCCUUGGAAUGCUUGUGCUGUUGGAAACUCAAUUCGAAAAUGCCAUGAGCUUGUUCCAGCAUAUGCAGAAGCCAAGCUGAACAGCGGCUGGUUGCCUAUGGAACCUUCCAUACGUUGUGGCUGAACCGCAGGAGGGUGUUUGCGCACCCACACAAGGCUGGCUCAGUGAAAGGCUGUGAAAGAACAGUGCUGGUUGAGAGCUGGGAUUUGUGCCGACAGACAAUUUUGAGCCUUAAGAAAGUGAGCUGAAGGAAGAAGACCCGACGGGAACCACAAAACCAGAUGUUGACAUCAUCAAGCCUUUAAUUGGUGUCAGGGUUGGUUUUGAACAAAAAGCAAGACAUAACACAUGGGGCUAUAAUCAAGGAGGGAGGAAUUAGGGAGAAGCCCCUUCUAAAUCAGAGCCCCCCUCAAGAAGGCCCUUGUGGAUCCAUGACUUUCAUGUCCUACUGAAUUAAAAUUAAUACAAUAGGUUCUGAAUUGAAAGAACGGAUCCAGCUGCCCAAGUCUGAGGAAUGCAACCGCCAUGUAUGUGCCAUGUAUCUGAGUUUUUGUUAAGCAUUGGGUCCCUGAUCUAAGGAAUUGCAUGGAUAGUGGUUCCAAAAUGCAUGAAGCAAAACAGGUCAUGCAGCUCUGCUUUGAAAGGUGUGGUUUCUCUAACUUUGUCCUAAGAAGAUAAGGUCACUUGUCCAAUCAUGAUGACUAUGUGAUAUAUAACAUAAAAUUAUUGAGACAGACAGCAUACUUUUAUACUUGGUUGUAUAUGUCAGUAGUGAUCACCAAGUUAUGGGAAGAAGCAAAGAGUGAUAUCCAAUUGGUCAUACUUAGACUAGACCCUUUGAAAUGGAUGAAAUCAAUUGAUUUCAGUGGGUGUCUUCUGAGUAUGGCUAACAUUGUUGGCAAACAUUGGAUCUCACCCAAAAUAGGUAUAACCACAAAACAUAAAAAGAUCCCAUUUUGUCUGGUAAAUGUAAAAUCUGGGUAUGACACAAGCCCACAUUAAGCUUUUUUAAGCAGCAGUGGAGAUUGUAUACAUUUCAGCAUUUGCUUUAAGUUUCAUGACAGGCAGUUGUUGUGAAAGGAAAUCUGUGCCAAGGGAAUACUAAAUACAGGAAUGGCUUGCUAGCUUUUGCUUUGUAAAGUUAAUCCACCAACAUAAACAUGCUGUUGCUGUUACAAGCUACAAAUGUGCACUACUCUAUAGCACUUUCAUAAGGUAGACUAUAUUUACUAUGCUCUUCAGGCCUGUUCAUAUUGACUGGAGGAUGUGCAUUCUAGAAAAAAACAGCACAAACCCAAGAAAAGAUGCAACCUCACCCUACUAUUUUGAUGGCAGACAUCCCAUUGAUUUUCAUGACCCUGGAUUCUGAGUAAGAGUUAUACUUGUAAACAUGGGUUAUUGAGUAACAUUUUGGCUCUGCAGAGAAGUGCUAUAAAUGUUUCUAAAAGACCUUUUUGACACCACUCAUAAAGGGACAUUCUGGGUCAGGACGAAAUAGGCCAGAACUGACUACAUACUCCAUUUCCAAGGCUAUUGUGGAAUACAUUGUGGCAUAAAAUCAGCCAGCACUUGGACCAGAUACUUUUCUGUGUAGCAUCCAUCCCACGGAAUAGCCAGGCUGAGUAUCAUCAAUUGAGGACCAUCGUUAUUCUAGAGCAAGCUUUGUAGCCGUAGGUUAAAGAGGAACCAGCAGAAUCACAUCCAACUAUUACGGUGACAAACAACGGUGGUGCAGGUUCUAUGGCUUAUUGUUGGAAAAUAAGAGGUAAGUUUGAAGAUGGUCCUGCUGAACUGGGGGUAGAAAGAAUAAGAAGUGGCUUAUUUUGAAUGAGUUAAAUAGAGGAUGAGUGGGGAGUUGAUAGGUGGCGUGUUUUUGUCUCCCAUAGAUUCUUCUGGGGUGGUUUGUGGGGAAAGGCAUGAGAACCAACAUGGCCCAAUGAACUGCUUGUUACAGUUGCGGCAGCAAGUAAAAGUUGGCAACCCCUGUAAGGAUGUAGGAGCCUGGCUAGGGAAAAAACCUUCACAUUUUUAGUCGUAUUUCACUUAAUAAAUUAGCCACUUCUUAUGCAUAAGAUUGCUUUUGAAUUACUAACCUUCUAAAUGUGCUGACAUUCAUUAUUAACAAAGAUUUUUCUUCCUCAUUUUUUCCUCAAGUGGAUUUCCCCCCCCAGCAAUUUAAAUUCAACAAGUUUUCAGCCAUUUAAUUCUAUUAAAGUAUCCCUUUAAAUAUGUAUUUUGAGAGCACUCAAAUCGGAAGCGUAACACUCAAAACGGAUCACGUUCGGCUUCCGAAAAACGUUUGAAAACUGGAACACUUACUUUUGGGUUUUCAGCGUUUGGGAACCAAGGCAUUUGAGAACCAAAGCGUUUGAGAACCAAGGUACCACUGUGCACUGAAAUUAAGCCUUUAAAGCUGUUAAGAUAUUAAUGUGAGUCACAUGUAAUUUAUUUUUGAUAUGAUACGAUGCAGGAACUGUUGUUAUAAUUGCUGCACUCUUUUAAAAAUGCAUUCGUGUAAAACUUGGGCUCAAAUGCAUGUCUGUUGGAAUAAUUGCCCCAGCAACAUAAUCCUUGCCCACUCUUUUAACAGCAGGGCAAAUUGCUUGGCCUCUUAUCACCCACAAGUGAUUCAUCAGCACAGCCUGGUAUGGACAUCAAUUGGAACAUAGCUAUAAUAUUAAAAAGAUGUCUCAUUGCUGGCAGCUACACUGAAAAAGAAACAAGUGGCAUGAUCAAAGGGACGUGCAUCAAGAAAGCAUAAAUAUAUGAUUGCAUUUAUUGAUGUUGCUAUUAAAAACAGAAGCGCUUAGAAGGACUAUAUCCAAAGAAAUUACAUCCUUUCUGCAAAAGUGCUCAGUACCCUGUUUUUUUUUAUAUUCUGCAUCCUGGAUUUUAUUGGCCUUGUAAAAUUGCCUCAGCCCUACAGGUCUUCUAUUCACACAGCUGAGAGUUAAGGCUAGGAAUUUACUGAGCAUUUAAUACCUACUGAUAUAUUUAAAGCACAGAGAGGUGAGUUCAGUUUAUCAGUUAAAAUGAACUUUCUAACAGUUUGAGGGCUGGAACAAGUUGCUAGAGUGAAAAAUAAACUAAACUGUUGGGAGUGGUUCUUUGUUUCAUAUUUCUAAAAAGGUUCAGUAUGGAGAGUUUUGGCAACGUGUUCCUGAGGGGUGGGGGUGUCAAUAUAGAUAUAUCAGUCUUGUACCUGGCCUUGCUUGGGAAUUCUAAGAAACCAAGUCUCUCUUUUUUUUUAAAAAAAAAAAAUGAUAUUUAUUAAAAUUUCAAAGAAUACAAGAAUUACACAAAAACAAAAAAUAAAAAUACAAGAAAAUACAAAAUACAGCAAAAAGAGUAAAAAAAACCCUUAUUAAGGUAUAACAAAAAAAUGAAAAAUAAAAAGAAACAUACAAAAUAAAAACAGUUAAAAACACAUUAAUUUUCCAUAGCAUAUCUUCCUUAACUUAUUUCCCCGGACCUCCUCGUACCUCCCUUUUUUGUAUUCCAGUUCACUUUGUUAGUUCAGCAAAUCCUUACCAUUAAGCUUUUACCCAUUUGUAAACCUUUUUCGUAUCUCUUAAAGCAUUACAGCUGGAAACCACUUAGUUUCUAUCCAACAUCCUUCUAAGAUUCAUUAAUUUUACAAUAUUUCUGUAAAUAGUCUUUAAAUUUCUUCCAGUCUUCUUUCACCGACUCUUCUCCCUGGUCUAGGAUUCUGCCAGGAAACCAAGUCUCUCAUUUUGAUUCAAAAUGGUGUCUAAUUGUGUCCCAAGAUAGAUAAAAACCUGCUUCUCAAUCUCAGGAACCAUCAUGCAAACCUUGGUUAUGAUAUCUAAGAGGUGUCCACAGGGCUGUCUUAAACAUAUGCGGUGCCAGGGUGCAAAGAUCCAUCCGGCGCACCCACCCGGUUGCCUAGUCCCAGGUGCGCAGGAGGGCGGAGCCGGCUGGCCGCCUCAGUAUCUUGCUGUCUUGGUCACCCCCAAACUUGUGGCGCAGAGCCACCUGCAGCAGAAGAGCCCAUCGCAGCACUCUGACCGACCGCCGGGCUCUUCCCCGGACUCAACUCUCGGGCCCUGGACUCUUGGCCUGGCACCCCUGAGAGCCUGGUGCCCAGGUUCCCUGCACCCCUAGCGCCUAUGGGUAAGACGGCCCAGAGUGUCCAAAUGCUGUCAGGGACUGGGCAGAGGAGGAAUGGUAGAGACUGCCUCUCCACCAUGACCCUUUCAGAGAAGACGUUCAGGAUUACAACAGGGGUCUGCCCCUCAGUGAGGCCAAACUUGCACCAGUAAAACACCACACAUCCACAUGCCAUCCACUCUGUUUCACACAUUAAACGCUCACUUCCGCCUGAGACUCAGAAAACACCGGGAAAGGAAAUGAGGCUGCCAUCGGGGGUAGCAACGGAACUGACAAUUCACCGUGCUGGAGAAGAAACUAAAAUUUUAUUUUUUUUAGUUUCUUCUCCCGUUAGAUUCACAAAAUGUUAUGCAUAAUUUUAAAGUCAUUUUUUCCUAAUCUUCGCCCCCCCUCUCUGUCUAGACAGAUUUAAAUGUAUUCUCGGUACUUUGCCAGCCCCAUAACCAACUCUGGCCUGGCAGAUCCAAACACCUCAGGAAAAUAUCUGUAACUGACAGUUUGCCAGAGUUUCACAGUGCCCCAAAUCUGUGGUCUGAGGUUUCCGCCUCAUGUUAGGACUAGGUCUGAAUAUCAAAAGUUUCCUCCUAUGAUUUUGGGUGAAUUCUCUCCCUCCCUGUCUCCAAUCCCCUCUCUCUUAUAUUGCUAUUUAUGAUUCAAGCAUGGCAUCAGGUUUUUUUUUUUUUUAAAGCAGUGCCUCUGUGUGCAUGAGUAUCCAUGCUACCUAUUCUACCUUGAAGUAUGGGUUAGUUGAUCAUUACUAUACAUCUACUCAGGUGGGUUUGGGCUGCAAGUGUUUGAGUUUUGGAUUCCUGGCAGUGUUAGCACGCACUUUUCUUGUUUUAUCAACUAUAAUUGAAGGGUUGUUGUUGUUUAGUCGUGUCCGACUCUUCGUGACCCCCUGGACCAGAGCACGCCAGGCACUCCUGUCUUCCACUGCCUCCCGCAGUUUGGUCAAACUCAUGCUGGUAGCUUCGAGAACACUGUCCAACCAUCUCGUCCUCCGUCUUCCCCUUCUCCUUGUGCCCUUAAUCUUUCCCAACAUCAGGGUCUUUUCCAGGGAGUCUUCUCUUCUCAUGAGGUGGCCAAAGUAUUGGAGCCUCAGCUUCAUGAUCUGUCCUUCCAGUGAGCACUCAGUGCUAAUUUCCUUAAGAAUGGAUGCGUUUGAUCUUCUUGCAGUCCAUGGGACUCUCAAGAGUCUCCUCCAGCACCAUAAUUCAAAAGCAUCAAUUCUUCGGCCAUCAGCCUUCUUUAUGGUCCAGUUCUCACUUCCAUACAUCACUACCGGGAAAACCAUGGCUUUACCUAUACGGACCUUUGUUGGCAAGGUGAUGUCUCUACUUUUUAAGAUGCUGUCUAGGUUUGCCAUUGCCUUUCUCCCAAGGAGCAGGAGUCUUUUAAUUUCAUGACUGCUGUCACCAUCUGCAGUGAUCAUGGAGCCCAAGAAAGUAAAACCUCUCACUGCCUCCAUUUCUUCCCCUUCUAUUUGCCAGGAGGUAAUGGGUCCAGUGGCCAUGAUCUUCCUUUUUUUGAUGUUGAGCUUCAGACCAUAUUUUGCGCUCUCCUCUUUCACCCUCAUUAAAAGGUUCUUUAAUUCCUCCUCACUUUCUGCCAUCAAUGUUGUGUCAUCUGCAUAUCUGAGGUUGUUGAUAUUUCUUCCAGCGAUCUUAAUUCUGGCUUGGGAUUCAUUCAGCCCAGCCUUUCGCAUGAUGAAUUCUGCAUAUAAGUUAAAUAAGCAGGGAGACAAUAUACAGCCUUGCCGUACUCCUUUCCCAAUUUUGAACCAGUCAGUUGUUCCAUAUCCAGUUCUAACUGUAGCUUCUUGUCCCACAUAGAGAUUUCUCAGGAAACAGAUGAGGUGAUCAAGCACUCCCAUUUCUUUAAGAACUUGCCAUAGUUUGCUGUGGUCGACACAGUCAAAGGCUUUUGCAUAGUCAAUGAAGCAGAAGUAGAUGUCUUUCUGGAACUCUCUAGCUUUCUCGAUAAUCCAGAGCAUGUUCACAAUUUGGUCUCUGGUUCCUCUGCCCCUUCGAAAUCCAGCUUGCACUUCUGGGAGUUCCCGGUCCACAUACUGCUUAAGCCUGCCGUGUAGAAUUUUAAGCAUAACCUUGCUAGCGUGUGAAAUGAGUGCAAUUGUGCAGUAGUUGGAGCAUUCUUUGGCACUGCCCUUCUUUGGGAUUGUGAUGUAGACUGAUCUUCUCCAGUCCUCUGGCCACUGCUGAGUUUUCCAAAUUUGCUGGCAUAUUGAGUGUGGCACCUUAACAGCACCACCGUUUAAAAUUUUGAAGGGUACCAAAAUCCAAAUACCCAAUUUUCCAGGCACCAGAGAACAUGGAGCCUGAAGAUUGGCUCCUGGGUUGAGUCAUAGAUGCCACCAGCAUAGCUCCAGGUCUUCUUUUGAUGGUAGAACUCCAGCUCUGGAAGAGUUGUAGCAAGAGUACAAGAAGUGGAUGUUGAAGGCAAGGAUAUGCAGAGAGUGAUUUCUUUAGUUUAAGAAUCUGGAAAUCGCAGCCUCAGAGUUGUGAUCCUUUCCUCUAUUGAGUGGCUGCUGUUUGCAAUCUUUUUCAGGUAAGUUCAAGCCUUCACACUUCUUAGUUAAGGCAUCAAUACGAGCAACAGAGCUGAAUGCACCUACAAGAACAGGACUCCUCUUUGCUUCCCUACCUACAGCCUGACUCCUAGAAAAUCUCAUUCACAUUUACAUUAACAAAACACUUUUUGCAAUUUAAAAUAUUUAGAGCAAUCAGAUGCUUCAGCUGGCUCAAAUAUCAACUUUCUCUUGCCUGUAUUUUGCCCCAUUCCUUUUAAAAAAAUUAUUUAUUUAUUUAUACUUAUACUUAUACAUCACACAAACAAGCACUGAAUUAAACGAACAAACAAUAUAAAACAGAAGAAAAUGCAAAAGCAAAAUUACAAGGAUGUAAACAUAAUAACAUAAACUGCAAUAAAAAUACAAAACAUUAUAUUAUCCCCAAAAAGGGAAAAGAAGAAUGAAAAACAACACCAAAAAAAAAGAAGAAAGAGAAGAAAAGGAAAAAGGAAAAAUAAAAAAGGGGGGGAAUUGACUUCCAACUAACUCCAUGUGGGUCUUUAUUCCUUAUAUCACUGGUUGUCUGUAAUGAUUAAAUUUUUGGAGAAAUGUUCUAAUUACCUGUGAAAUUUUUAUUCUAAGCUAAGCCAAGUAUGAAUCUGGGAAUCGGUUCUCUUCAUAUAAUUUAUAAAGACUUCCCACUCUCUCUUUAUUUUCUCAUUAGAAUAAUUUCUUAUUAAACCUGUAAGUUUGGCCAGUUCAAGAUAUUCUGACAGUUUAAGAACCCAUUCUUCUUUUGUCGGUGUUAUGUUACUUUUCCAAUGUUUAGCAAUUACUAUCCUGGCCGCCAUUACUGCAUCCAAAAAUAUUCCUUUGGUUUCUUUUGGGAUGUCUGUUGUUAAUAGGCCCCCAUUCCUUAAAGGGUGAGGACUUGCAUAGCUCAGUGUUAGUCAUUGUUAGUCAUUGUUAGUCAUUUAGUUAUUUAGUUAGUUAGUUAUGUAGUUAGUUAGUUAUUUGCUUAGUUAGUCAUUUAGUUAGUCAGUGUUAGUCAUUUAGGCAGAUCUGCCUUUCCACUCAAUCAGUUCCUACCACAUCAGAUGUCUACCCACUCUUUUACCUUGCUAUUAAAAAAGCACCAGAGAUGCUCAGGGCAUUUGUUCUUUGCGGGUUCCAGUGCAGACUGUCCGGAUCCACACCUUGCAAAGCAAUGUAUAGAUUGGAGCACAGUCAUCCUUCAGAUUUUGCGUCUCUCCAAAUUUUGCAGUGCAGUUCUUGGCUCAAAACUCUGAACAAAUAUGUGCAUAAAAUAUGGUUAGAAAUGCAUAUUGUGUGAGAAGAUGGCUGGUUAUAUUUUGUUGCAUCUUUCCCACUAUGUAGGUUCAGUGCAGGUGGAAGGAAGGCCUGUGCGUGUUCCGAAGCUUCAGAGUGGUAAACCUAAACCAUCAUUAUCAUAAUUAUCUCUCAAUACUAUAUUUGCAGUAGCCUGUGAUCAUAAUGUUUUCAUUGGCUAUUGCCCAAGGUUCUAAAGGCAUGGGUUGGAGAAGGAGGAGGGAGCAGGAACAGAAAAAAGGAGGAAACAUGCACCUGUAGUAAAUGAAUUUGCAGGAAGGGUUAAGGGAAAGCCUUGGUGAGGGCAAGAAGGGUUCUCACUGUGUGAUAGUUUUAGUUAACUGGUGUUAGGAGAGGAGAGAAAGGAGGAACUGGAGAAGUGGCAGGUGGAAGUGGGUGGGACUAAAUGUGGCAUGUGGAAGAAUGAGGCAGAAUAUGGGCUAUUUCAUUAACCCCUUCCAAUGCAGGAAUCUGAACUAAAGCAUCCAUGACUGAUGGCCGCUCUGCUUAAAAACCUCCAAGGAAGGAGAGUCCACUGAGGGAACCCAUUCCAUCGUCAAACAGUGCUUACCAUCAGAAAGUUCUUCCUGAUGUUGAGUUGGAAUCUCCUUUCUUUUAACUUGAAUCCAUUAGUUCAGGUCCUACCUUCUGGAGCUGGAAGAAACAAGCUUUCUCUAUCUUCCAUGUGACCGCCCUUGAGAUAUUUAAAGAUGACCACCCUAUCUUCUCUUGGUCUCCUCUUAUCCAGGCUAAACAUAUGCAACUCACUCAACAGUUCCUCAUAAGGCUUGGCAGCUUCAAAUAUAGGACUGGGAGGGUGAAAAUGGGGUUAGUAGUUGCAUGGGGUGGGUAGGGGGACCUCUAGGUGGAUAAUGCCUGAAAGUGGUAGGGGAUUAGUGAAUGGAUCUGCGGUCCCUCUAGUAAUUCAUAAAAGUGUAUUGGCAGUGAUGAGCAAAGACCAGUUCCAUUCUGAUGCAGUUAUCCUUAGAGGCUGAGCAACAGAAUACAUUAUUUCCUAGAUUAUGCCUUGGAUGCAGGUGGCACUGUGGUCUAAACCACUGAGCCCAGGGCUUGCUGAUCGGAAGGUCAGCGGUUCAAAUCCCCGCAACGGGGUGAGCUCCUGUUGCUCGGUCCCAGCUCCUGCCAACCUAGCAGUUCGACAGCACGUCAAAGGUAUCGCUCUGGUGGGAAGGUAAAUGGCGUUUCCAUGUGCUGCUCUGGUUUUGCCAGAAGCGGCUUUAUCAUGCUGGCCACAUGACCCGGAAAAACAGUCUGCGGACAAACGUCGGCUCCCUCAGCCAGUAAAGCGAGAUGAGCGCCGCAACCCCAGAGUCGUUUGCGACGGGACUUAACUGUCAGGGCUCCUUUACCUUUACCUUUUUUUAACCUGCAGCAUGUUUCCUCACACUUUGGAAGAGGAAGUAGUAAAUGUAGCUAUGGUACAGUUAAGAGGUGGGGCCCAUAGUUCAACCAACUGCAGAUGUAGGGAAAGGUCUGGUGACACAUUAUGUCUGGUGACACAUUACGUGUCCAGAGGAGGGCAACCAAAAUGGUCAAAGGCCUGGAAACAAUGCCUUAUGAGGAACGGCUAAGGGAGCUGGGCAUGUUUAGCCUGGAGAAGAGGAGGUUAAGGGGUGAUAUGAUAGCCAUGUUCAAAUAUAUCAAAGGAUGUCACAUAGAGGAGGGAGAAAGGUGGUUUUCUGCUGCUCCAGAGAAGCGGACAUGGAGCAAUGGAUCCAAACUACAAGAAAGAAGAUUCCACCUAAACAUUAGGAAGAACUUCCUGACAGUAAGAGCUGUUCGACAGUGGAAUUUGCUCCUUCUUUGGAGGUCUUUAAGCAGAGGCUUGACAACCAUAUGUCAGGAGUGCUCUGAUGGUGUUUCCUGCUUGGCAGGGGGUUGGACUCGAUGGCCCUUGUGGUCUCUUCCAACUCUAUGAUUCUAUGAUUCUAUGUAGUUCUGCUGAUGAAGCUAAGAAGAUCUGGGAACGAAUGCCCAUCGGUAACCCUCUCUGACCUCUUUGGAGGAGGAAUUGGGUGUGCACACUUUUAAGAGGCUAGAUAACCCUUUCCUACUGACUUUCCAUUCUUUUGGAGUGCUUUUUGCAUUACUGGCAGGAGUGUCUGAUUCCAUAAAUAUGGAUUCCGCCAAAAAGGCCCAGCCACUUCAGAGUCUUGAAGAUGCUUAAUUAGAAGGAAAGUAAAUGUAAAACUAGUCUUGGCUACUGCUCUUUUGUGGUUACCGCUGGCCAUAUAAUGACAUUCACUUUAGUCAAAAGUAUAGGCAGCUGGUAAAACUUGGAUAGCACUUGGAACAUAGAAGAAUGUGAGGUUAAAUGAUGUUUCCAGUUUUCAUCUUGCAGCAGAUGAAAUUGGGUAAUUGUCUUUAGGCUAGUAUACAAAGGCUUUUCUAUGGCUCUUUAUAGCUGUUUAUAAUUUAAAAUUAAGAUCAUUUUCCUAGCCCUCCUGACUGUUGGGCUGGGGAAUAUUUCUGUGUUGAAUACACCUAACUCUGGACCCAAUCAGGUAAUAUCUUCUACCCCUUCCCACCACCAAAGUUGUCUUGAGUCAGUUAAACACAUGAGUUAAGAGCUCUCUGAGCAACUUGUGUGGUUUCUGAAGCUCUGAUAUGUACCUUAUAAAAUUGCUAUGGCUUGGGCUUGGGAGCUCCACCUUCACCUCUUCCCCUAUUCAUGUAGGUAUACCAUUAAAUGGGGGGGGGCAGGGAGAAAAUCACCAAAAUAAAGGUGGAAUUGACCAUCAAGUAUAUUGUCUGCUGGGAGAUCAACUGGUGCUAUGCAAUCAAACCAGGCAGAGGGCCUUUUUGGUAGUUGUACCAGCAUGGUGUAGUGGUUAAGAGUGGUGGACUCGUAAUCUGGUGAACCAGGUUCGCUUCCCCACUCCUCCACAUGCAGCUUCUGGAUGACCUUGGGCCAGUCACACUUCUCUGAAGUCUCUCAGCCCCACUCACCUCACAGAGUGUUUGUUGUUUGGGGAGGAAGGGAAAGGAGAUUGUUAGGCACUUUAAGACUCCUUAAGGGGAGUGAAAGGUGGGAUAUCAAGUCCAAACUCCUCCUCCUCCUCCUCCUCCUCCUCCUCCUCCUCCUCCUCCUCUUCUUCUUCUUCUUCUUCUUCUUCUUCUUCUUCUUCUUCUUCUUCUUCCCACCCUGUGGAAUGCCUUCCCACCAGAUGCCAAGGACUAUCUGACUUUUAGAAGACACCUGAAGGCAACCCUGUGUAGCGAAGUCUUUUAAUGUUUGACGUCUUACUGUGUUUUAAUUUGUUGGAAACCGCUCAGAGUGAUUGGGGUAACCCGGCUAGAUGGGCGGCAUAUAAAUAACAAAUUAUUAUUAUUAUUAUUAAAUUAUAUGAAACAAAAAUAUUUUAAAUGUAAAACUGAUAAGUGGGGUCAUAUAGUUGUUGUUUCUUAAGCUGAUGUGAAAAUGUGGAGAACUGAAGGUAAGACUGGAUAAAUGAGAAACCAAAAUGAAAAUUCACCCAUCUGAGUGAAUCUCAGCACUGAGGAUGAAUCCUGCAGGCUUGCUGAGCAUCUUUUCCACAGUGGAGACCCCUCUACCAUUUCAGAAUAAAUAUUGGGUGGCUGGACUUUCUCCCAAACUCCUGGUAAUUGUGAUAGCCUCCUUCAGCUGAUACAUUUCCCCACAAAUGGUGAGGAAAAUGUAAAUGACUGACUGACUGGGGAAAAGACCAUAUGGUCUAUACCUGCAUGAGCCCUUCAUAGCUGACAUGAGUCAUGCGUCUCAUUCUACAAAUGAUAUCUGAAGUUGUUAACAGAUACAAUGUCUUCAGGCCAACAUGUAUCUAUUAGAAAUUUGUUUUCAUGGUGUACUUUAGUUCCUGUCCAAAGUUCUGUUGACAACUGUUCUUCUCAGUUAGUUAAUAAUAAUAAUAAUAAUAAUAAUAAUAAUAAUAAUAAUAAUUUAUUAUUUAUACCCCGCCCAUCUGGCUGGGCUUCCCCGGCCACUCUGGGCGGCUUCCAAAAGAAUAUUAAAAUACUAUAAUACAUCAAACAUUAAAAGCUUCCCGAAACAGGGCUGCCUUCAGAUGUCUUCUAAAAGCCUGGUAGUUGUUGUUCUCUUUGACAUCUGGUGGGAGGGUGUUCCACAGGGAAGGCGCCACUACCGAGAAGGCCCUCUGCCUGGUUCCCUGUAACUUGGCUUCUCGCAGUGAGGGAACCGCCAGAAGGCCCUCUGCGCUGGACCUCAGUGUCCGGGUAGAACGAUGGGGGUGGAGACGCUCCUUCAGAUAUACUUUUGAAUAUAUAUAUGGAACAUAAUAUGAAUGGUUACUCUGUGCCUCCUUAGGUAUUCUCCCCCAUUGUAUCUCACUUUUUCCUUAGCCAGGCCUAAAUGAAUUGUCCAGGUGUUAGAGGCCAUGAGGAAAAACAUUUGAUUUUUCUUUUUCCCCACCCCGGCCCUAGGGCAAUAUAUACUGGAGUAAGAAUAUCAAGUUUCUUCUUAGCAGAGUUGGGUGUUUAUGAGCACCAUUCAGGGUGACUGCCCCAUGUGCUUUGUGAGCAGAUUGCUGUAGUCCGAAAUGCUCAAGACAUCACAGAGGUUCAAAUGUUGUCCAAAGCCAAAACAAAUAUGGCAGGUUGGGCCUUUGGGAAACACAAACCAGUCAGUCGAAAUGUAUAUAUAAACAGUAACAAAUUUCAAACUCGUGGUCUGUGCAAUCAUGAAUGCAAAAAUGUUUAGGAGGUGCUUUUAGGGUGUGUGUGUGUGUGUGUUUUUAAAAGAGGGACAGUGUUUUCAAGUGAAGUUUUUGCCCAGUGAUUUGAAAUGAAGGGAAUCGUCUCACGAUACAAGAUGGCUAACUUGGCCUUCUAGACUGAGCACCAAUUGUUGUUCUACAAGUGGCAUGCAAGCACACACAAGCUCUUAUCAAGUAUGCACAUCUGGCACUCAGUGCGGAUAACUCGAAAGGGCCUUUAUUUAAAUAAUGUAGCAUCAAGGAAGCCUAGCUGUGUUGAAAGAGUUACUCCUAGGUUUGGGCGCACAAGAUUGCAGGCUUUGCACCCCCUCCUACCAUUUUGGAGGGGAAUUCCAAGGCAUGGGAUGGGGUUGUCUUGGAGCUGGGUUGAACCAUGGUUGAACGCCAUGGAUGUUAUGAAGCCGGAGGAGACAUGGAGGCAGUUUGCCUCCCCACCCAUGCCAGGUAUUUGGAGUCAAGCCCAGCUGCAUGGCAGAAGCGUGAAGGUGGAAGAACUUCUGCUUCUGUUGUAUAAGCAGCAGGGAAAGAUCAGGAAAAGGCAGAGGUGGGGGAGAGAAAUAAACAAGAGGAACAGAAAUAAAUAGCAAGAUAGGAUUGGGAGGACAGUUAGUGGGUUUGUAAUAGGUAGUGGGGAACACGGGUAGUGCUGUGGUCUAAACCAUUGAGCCUAGGGCUUGCUGAUCGGAAGGUCGACGGUUCGAAUCCCCAUGACAGGGUGAGCUCCCAUUGCUUGGUCCCAGCUCCUGCCCACUUAGCAGUUCGAAAGCACAUCAAAGUGCAAGUAGAAAAAUAGGUACCGCUCCGGCGGGAAGGUAAACGGCGUUUCCAUGCACUGCUCUGGUUCGCCAGAAGCGGCUUAGUCAUGCUGGCCACAUGACCCGGAAAAACUGUCUGCGGACAAACGUCGGCUCCCUCGGCCAGUAAAGCGAGAUGAGUGCCGCAACCCCAGAGUCAUUCAUGACUGGACUUAACUGUCAGGGGUCCUUUACCUUUACCUUUUUUUAAUAGGUAGUGGAAAGGGAUGGGUUGUCAUCAGCCAUGCCUGAGUAUGAGUCGGAGCUCUUAGGCUCAACAGCAGAGACCCAAAGUGGUGGCUAUAAGCCCUGUAUUCUGUCAUAAGAGCGGGAUGAGAAGGCUCCACAACAGGAUAUAUCUUGAGAACUCUGAAUCCACAUGAAAGCAUGGAGAGUCUUUCUGCAGAGCUGGUGAAUUUUGGAGCUCUCUACCCAUGGAAGAGACCCUCAGCCCUGGAAGCAAAAGAGGAAGAAGGGCUGUAAAGUCCUCCCAUCUUUACCCACAAAGCUACUGAAGUGAAGUGCGUGUGUUUCUGUGUACGGUUGCCAGUGUUUCUUGCAUAAGAGAGCAAAAUAUAGAUGGCAGAACUCCAUAGCCCGGUCCUCCACAUUGCUACUGUCACCAAUGCCAGCAGAAGAAGAAAAAAGUAGAAGUUAUGGCCUUGUGGAGUGUGUUGGGAGUUGGGCUGGGAUCAGACCAGCCUUGCGCUGCACACCUGCAACCUGCUAUUUGUCUAGAGCAGGAAAAAUGAGAUGUGAUAUCUUCCUUCUCAUCUCUGGCUAUAGCCCCAUGGAGGUGAUUCUCUCUUGGUGCUGUAAGGGGGGAAAGUUGGGCUGGUGCUUAGUUAGGACCCUCCCUUUAGUCACCUUUUUUCUGUUUUAAUUAAGUUGCUGGAUUUGCUGGAUGGCAAGAUCAGGCUUGUGCAGAUGUGAGCCUACCCCACCCUCCCUUGAAGAAACUGAACGAUUUGUAAUAGAAAUGUCUCCCUGUGUUCUUUGCUCACAUCCUAAACCUGUAAUUUCCACUGCUGCAGCCAAGGACUAUUACAGGAUCUUCAGCUGUUUCUGAUUUCCACUUGCUUUGCGUUUAUAUUUUAGCUUCAGCAGGGCAAGUCACCGCUUGUCCUGCCGCAGUUCCUACCUUCAAAAGGUCAACCUGCUUGUUACACGGAGAGCAGAAACAAAUGAGCAGACUCAUAAGGAAAUGCUGGAACAUUCCCAAGGCUAUCUGGCUUCAGCAACCAGUUGGGCGAAACAGGUUGACCAGAUGAGAAAGAGGUCCGAGUGUGUUCAUUAGAGGGAGAACUGAUGGGCAUGAGAGUUUGCCUCACUCCCCAGGGACAAUGUGCAUCAACCAAAAUGACCACACUUAUGCAACUAAUAAAGUACAAUGGUACCUUGGUUCUCAAACUUAAUCCCUUCCGGAAGUCCGUUCCAAAAGCAAAGCGUUCCAAAACCAAGGCGCGUUAAAAAUCCGUUCCAGAUUUUUAAAAACAACCCCUAAAACAGCAAUUUAACAUGAAUUUUACUAUCUAUCAAGACCAUUGAUCCAUAAAAUGAAAGCAAUAAUCAAUGUAUUGUACUAUAAAUAAAUAAGACAGUAUUGUAGAUGAUAAAAAUCAAAAUUAUUUUUUUUCCUUACCUGCACUGAUGAUAGUCAUUGUUUGGAUGGGGGGCCUUUAUCCAUUUCCUCAGUCACACAAUCAAUCAAUCAAUCAAUCAAUCAGUAGCUGAACUGGGUUCCACACAGUCACAAAAACAAAUUAACUGAAAGAGCCUCGAAAACAAAAACGCAAAAUAAAUAGUAAAAACAAAAGCAGCAAACUUAAUCUAUUCUGAAAGUCUGUUUGACUUCCAAAAUGUUCGAAAACCAAAGCGCAGCUUCUGAUUGAUUCAAGCGCCCCGGAAACAAUAGCUGACAGUCAAAUCGGAUGUUCGGCUUCCAAAAAACAUUCAAAAACCGGAAAACAUACUUCCGGGUUUUUGGCGUUUGAGUACCAAGGCAUUUGAGAACCAAGGUACCACUUUACGGGACCUGCCCUCCAUUUUACCUAGUUAUCCCAGGGGAGAGAUGGGCGGCGGCGGCAGGGGGCCAGCCCCCAAUAUUUCAGAUGAAAGGGCUGCCCCCCAAAGUUCAAUGGCGGCCGUGUGCACACUCCGUGGGGCGUGCUCACAUCACACAUGCACAUGUUGUGGGGCACCCGCACAUCAGCAUGGCCCACAGCAUGUGCAAGUGAUGUCAACACACUGUGGUGUAUGCACAUAUGCCGUGAUCAUGCUAUCGGACAUGCUAAUGUCAUGUGCGGAUGCCGCAGGGCAUGCUGACAUCACAUGGCCCUGGGCACCCUCAAUCACGGGGGUAAAGUGGGACAUGUGCUGUCUAUAUUGAAAGAAUCACAACCUCUUUUUGAACUAUUGCACUAGAGGUGUCAUCUGGUCUAGAAACACUGGGAACAGAAGGUAUUUAAGUAUACCUUUCUGAAGAAACCAGAGGCCUUUCUUCUGGGCAUGGUCGGCCAAUUGGUGCGAAGGGAGGAUAGAACUUUCUUUAUGUAUGCUACAACAGCAGCAAGAAUACUCAUCGGGAAGUACUGGAAGACACAAGAAUUGCCCACCUUGGAAGAAUGGCAGAUGAAAGUGAUGGACUAUAUGGAACUGGCUGAGAUGACCGGCAGAAUUCGAGACCAGGGAGAAGGGUCGAUGGAAGAAGAUUGGAAAAAAUUCAAAAUAUAUCUUCAAAAGUAUUGCAAUAUAAAAGAAUGUUAGAAGGAGGUUGGAAAAAGAAUAUUAGGUCGUUCUGGUAGAUAUGAUAUAAUGGACUAAGCAAAAAUGAGUUGAUGAAUUUGAUGAAAUAGAGGAGGUUUAAUUAUAUUACUUCAAUUUUAAAAUACGUAAAUGAAAAUAAGAUUAGAGGGAUUUGCUGGAAAUACGAUUUGAACAAGAAUACAAAAUUGGGAGGUGAGAGGAGGUCAAUGGAAAUAAGUAAAGGGAAAAGGAUAUGUAAAGGUUUAACCUGUUUUUGUUUUAUUUUUAACUUAAUACAUUUUUAUAUUUUUUGUUAAGUUUUCUUUUUUAUUCUAUCUCAUUGUUCUUUUUACUUGUUUAUUUUUUGCUCUGUUAUGGUCAAAGUUUUCUUUGUACUCUGUAUGGUUUUUCUUUUUUUCUGUGAUUUUAAAUUUGGAAUAAAUAUUAUUUUUUUUAAAAAAAAUAGAAACACUGGGAACAGGAGGAGGACACUUCUGAAUCUAUAGACUUGACACCUUAGCAGCAUAAGAUUAGAGAAGCACAUCUGGCAUCUCAGUUACAGCCAGAACAUGCAGUGUUUCUGUAUAUUUCCUCCUGUGUGUUCUGUAAUGCACACCUUGGCCAGAGCAUCCUUCAUUUCGCAUUGGAGAAGGUGGGAGCUGAAAUGUUUUGCUAUAGUUUAUACAUAGAUAGCAUUAUGGGGACUAAAUAUAGCACACUGAGAUAUUAAAGUUUUCAAGCAUCUGCGGAUGCCUGAAAAUAUAAAGCAAAAUGUGAGCACAAUUCCACAGAAUUUGGGGAGUUGAUUUUGCAUGUUACAAGCCUCAGACCAGUGCCAGAUUUACGUAUAAGCUAAACAAGCUAUAGCUUAGGGCCCCACUCUUUUGGGGGCCCCCAAAAAAUUUAAAGAAAAAACAACUGGAUGUACAUUUCCAAAAUAUAAGAUAAAAAAACAAAUAAAAUAAAACCUACAUACAGCAACAGUGUUUUGUGUUGUGUAGGCUCCUAUGAUGUAAGUAAUGGGUCCCGCCUGCUCGCCUGGUGCCUAAAAUAUCACUGGUUUGCUCAUUUCUAUAUCAAUUACCUUGAUAAAAUACAUAUUCUGUUAUGUGCAAAUGGCUUUAGACACCUAUUAGGUCCAUAAAUUACCAUAAAGCAUACAUUCAACACAAAAAAACAGCAACAAUUUGUUGUUGGCAAAGGACAGCUGAACCUAUAAAGGGCCCAUUGCCUUCAGUAGCUCAGGGCCUCAUCAAACCUCAAUCCAGCCCUGCCUCAGACUAGUGAUUCUUGAUGGGUAGAGACUUGCCACGUGUAGUCACACAGAGGACAGGUCUACUAAACACAAUCUGCUCUGAUCUCUGAAACUGUACAAUGAAGCCAUAUGUAACAGUACUGAGGAAGAUUUGGUUUAAAAUGUGUAUUGGGUGGUUUAAUGAUUUGAAGCUAUGCUGUAUUGUUUCAGAUAUCAUCGAUAGCAUUUUGUGUGAAAGCUUCAUUCCGUAAUUGGAAGCUAUAAUUAAACCUUGACCUAGCCUUCCCCCUCACACUAAAGGUAAAGGGUAAAGGGACCCCUGAUCAUUAGGUCCAGUUGUGACCGACUCUGGGGCUGCGGCGCUCAUCUCGCUUUAUUGGCUGAGGGAGCUGGCGUACAUGUGGCCAGCAUGACUAAGCCGCUUCUGGCAAACCAGAGCAGCGCACCGAAACGCCGUUUACCUUCCCACCGGAGCAGUACCUAUUUAUCUACUUGCACUUUGAUGUGCUUUCGAACUGCUAGGUUGGCAGGAGCAGGGACCAAGCAACGGGAGCUCACCCCAUCGCGGGGAUUCAAACCGCCGACCUUCUGAUUGGCAAGUCCUAGGUUCUGUGGUUUAACCCAUAGCGCCACACACUAUAAUUAAACUAUAUAAUUAAACCUUUACCUAGCCUUUCCCCUCACACUAGAGGCAUGCAAUUAGGUUUGGGCAUAUUUAUUUGUAGCUGUUAUUAUUGCAUUUAUAUCACACCUUUUCUCUAAGGAGCUCAAACUGGCAUACACGGUUUUUCUCCCCCAUUUUCUCCUCCCAACAAUCUUGUGAGGAAGGCUAGGUGGAAAGAUUGACUAGCCCAAGUCACCCAGCAUAUCUCUGGGUACGGAGGCAGCACAACUCUGGAGAAAACAACAGGAAAAGCCAGUCAUUUCCAUGCAAACACCAUGCUGAAGUUAGUUGACUCCUGGGACUGAAACUUUUGAUUCCUGAUUUAGUACUUUCUUUGAUUAAGUAAAUAAAUAAUGGAUACAUCUACCAAUUAAACCCUGCGGCGUGGCUUUAUUACAUUGAAUACCAAACUGGUUGCUAGAACCUGGUAUCAGAAUGAAGUGGCAAGAGGGUGGGUUUUUUUUUUUUUUAUUAGUUCUGAACAUUAGUUCUGAAGCGCUGUGAAACUUUCAGGCAGCUUUCUGAAGCUCUGAUUUAUCAUAACUCUUCCCAACCCCCUCCCUCCAAAAAACAACAACACACAAAAUGUGGAUGGAGCAAUUCCAUGUGUGACUGAUUGAUUUAAGGGGGUGUUUAUGUGAAGGAAGCUCUGUGGCACAGGGAUGUUAUUGCUUUUCCACCCCCUGCCAGAGAAGAAUCUGGCACUUUCUUUCUUUGCUAAUAUUUCUUUCUAUCGCCUGUGGUUAAGGUUUAUGGUGUCUUCAAUAUCUACUAGUGCCUGCUGGGUUUUUGUUUUUUUUACUCACGCUACAUGCUCUGCUUUCUCAUCAGCAUGUACAUCCAGAACUGCGGAUUGAAGGCCAAAUACUUCAUCUGGUGAUUUGCAAGUUUAAAUGUCCUCCUUUUAAUAUUAAGGAACAUCUUUCAGUGAUGAAUGGCAGUUCCAUCUCCCACAUAUUCCGUAAUGAACCUUUGGGGUCAAAAUUCUGCCUUGUCUGAUAGGAUGCAGUCUAGGGUUCACGACUUUACAUAUUUGCAUGUUGACUUAUGGAAAGCUGUAAAUGUACAUGGAGCUCAGAGGUUUCAGAAUGCCUGCCAUAUUCUGAGUAGAAGAAGGUUGCAGAAGAAGAAUUUUUAAACUGGAUCCCUGUAGAAUGCUCUGGGGUGGCUCUGAAAAGCAGUUUGCUCUUCAUAAUGGGAAGAAGACAGCCACUGGCUUACUGGUAUGGGGUUCCAUUGGGACUGCAGCAGCAUCAAAAGAAACACCCACUUCCAUAGGCCAUGACAGAGCUGUGUUUCGGUGUGCAUAUUGUUUUGGAAAAUGUGAAUUUGGUAAGUUUGCCUUGAAAUGUGCGCUGAAUUUCCCCCUUCUCCCUACUCUCUCCUGUUUCUGUAUCUGGCCCCUACUGAACACUCGCAUUUUGUCCUUGGAAGUUUGCCCAUCUUGAAUGCCGCUAUUGGGCUGAAAAAUGUGCCCCAUCCCUGAGCAGCCAAAUGCCAAAAUAUGUUACAAGCACCACAUCCCCCUGUGGGCCCUGUUGUGUGUGUAUAGUUCAAGCUUCAUGUCUGAGUGAUUGGAUGAUUGACUAACCCAAGGUCUAAAAAGCUCUAGAAUCUCUGCCCACUUCCAAUUCACCUUUUUAAAACCCAAUUCACUCUUCUGUGAGGGAGCUAAUUCUGUAUCUUUCUUCUUAGGAAAAGACAUCUGCACCUGCUGGGAUAUAUGCAGAUGGACUUCCUUUGAAAGUAAUUUUAAUGACAUCAUUAGGAUACAGAAACCUAGCGCCACUUCCCCUGCCAUAAUAGAAUUCAGCCUUGGCUCAUAUCAAUUUGGAGGUGUGUGUGUACAGUGGUACCUCAGAUUAAGAACUUAAUUCGUUCUGGAAGUCCGUUCUUAACAUGAAACUGUUCUUAACCUGAGGUACCACUUUAGCUAAUGGGGCCUCCCGCUGCCGCUGCGCUGCCGUCGUGCGAUUUCUGUUCUCAUCCUGAAGCAAAGUUCUUACCCCGAGGUACUAUUUCUGGGUUAGCGGAGUCUGUAACCUGAAGUGUCUGUAACCCGAGAUACCACUGUAUUUAGCAUAAUAGCCCUUAGCGAAAGCUCUGUUAUGUACAAAUGAAGUCACCCGUGAACAUGGGCUGCAGCUUCAAUGCUGAGAUAAGUUUCAUGGAGAGGAGAUCUCUCUGGCACCAAUGUGAAUGUGGUAGACGCUGCUCCUCUGGAGGUCUUGGUUUGCUGGAACAACAUGAAACAUUGAUCAAGUUGAUAGACAAGCCUUAAUCUGUUCAGGGUAGGGUGCUGAAAUGAUUGACCCUGUACCUGGGGAAGCCAACAUGGUGCCCACAAGAUGAUGUUGGACUCUAGGUCCCAUCCUCCCUGAUCAUUGGCCAGGCUGCUUGGGUCUGCUGGGAGGUGAAGUCCAUUGACAUCUGGAGGAAAGCACAUUGGCUACCCUACAUCUAUGUUUUUACCUGAUUAGAUAUUAAUUUAAUUCACAUCUUACUAAAAUUUCAACAAGGGUCUCCUUUGAGAUAACGAGGCAGUGCAAGAUAACUUAAAAUUUAAUAAACCAUAAACUUCCACUCAUAGUUAAAGCUCCCUCAUUGUUCAGAAAUUGACCCCCAUGAUUAAUAAAGAUUCCCUCUAGAAGCAAAGGCCAACUUCGGCAUUUAAAUUUGAUUUUAAAUUAACACACCAGAACCAAAAUAGUUUAAAACACGCACAUUUGCUUGUAGCUUGCAGUCGCAAUUAUUCUGGGCCCUAUCAAUUAAUCAGCUAAAGGCUUAGUGGAUUAAUUUGCCUAUUAAAGACUGCAGCCCUAGCAUAAGGUAAGAACACGUGUCAAAUGUUGAGAGGCGAUUGAUUAUAUGAAAUUAUUUGGUGAGAACAUGUUGGUUACAGUGUCCGCUGAAUGGUUUAUAUUUUGGUUAACCAUAAAGCAUUGCCUUGUUUUACUAGAACACUGUGAUUUUCUUUUUACUGGACGAGGUAGUUCUGUCAUCUUAAUGAAAGCAAAACACUGGUAACAACUUUUAACAUUUACACAAUCCUGCGGCUUCCUUUAGCGCUGUUUGCAAUGUGCUGCAUGACUAACUCAAAGGCUAAUCACAAAACAAGGGCUGCCAGAAAAUGUUUAACUGUAGACUUCGUUAACUAUUCUUGCUACUGAAAGCAAUUAGCGGAAUGGAUUUUGCCUGUUCUACACAAAUCCCACCAGAGGGCUUGCUAUUUAAAGCGACAUGAAUGAGACUGAAACAGGCAAAAGCAUAGCUGUCAACUUACAGAUUUGAAAAUAAGGGACCAGCAGCCAAAAUAAGGGACCUGCAGCCUCACCUGUUCCAGGCACUCCAGUCUUCCUGUCCUCCUGCAGUCUGGUCAAACUCAUGCUGGUAGCUUCGAGAACACUGUCCAACCAACUUUGUAACCAGAGGUUCAACUGAAUAGAAUCUGAAUCUAGAAUCUGAAUCACAUGCACCACAAGGCCUAUGCAGCCUCAACUUAAGAUGGCUCCCUGGCCUGGCUUUGCGCUGCAAAGUUUGCAGCAGUACGUGCAACAAAAUGGCGUCCAGCAUUCAAAAACCUCCUCAGCUUGCAUUAACUAGCCACACACAAGGCAUUCAAGCUCCACCCCCCAGUUGUUCUUAGACUUCUUAUUGGGUGAGCAACACAGCCAACCAACACAGUUGGAGCCUCCCUCCUCCCUGGCCGGCAGGGAGGGAGGGAGAGGAGCUGCUUCCUUUGAAAUUUAAGGGACAUCAUUUAAGGGACAUUUAAGGGACAUCCAUCAAUAAGGGACAGCAGCGGGACAUGGCGCUGGAAUAAGGGACUGUCCCUUCAAAUAAGGGACACUUGACAGCUAUGCAAAAGGGAGGAGUAGCAGCUAUUUCUGCCGCUCCGUAAUGUCCAGUGAUAAAAGACAUGUGACACGAACCCUGGUCAGGUGUUGAUUUCCACCAGGCAAUAGAAUUGCAUGAAGGAAAUCAGGGAUACACUGGCUAGCCCCCUUACAAACAACAUUUCCCAGGAUUCACUGGGGGAAGCUAUGACUUUUUAUAGUGGUGUGAUACUUGCCUGACCUUGCUAACCUUCAUACAUUCGGAAGAAGACUGAAAGGUGCUUUUAGGCUUAUAUGGCUACAGGCAGGCAGACUUUCCCAGGAACACUUCCAGACUUUGUCGAAUGCCUGCUAGUCAAGUCAAGGGCCUGAGUCAGUGAUUGGCAAGGCAGAGUAGAAGAAUCUUCUUCACGGUAAGCCAGCGAGGAUCUGCUCACCCAGCUGCCCAUGAUUGGGCAGUUUAAAUUCAGGAAAUGCAGGCAAUCCUGCCUUGCAGUGCGGCCAGCCAGAUGGUUUUCAACAGCCAGUCACACACAAGUCCCAGGCUGUCGGGAAUGGUGGCUAGACCCAGUAGUUUUUGUUAUUUAGUCAUUUAGUCGUGUCCGACUCUUCAUGACCCCAUGGACCAGAGCAUGCCAGGCACUUCUGUCUUCCACUGCCUCCCGCAGUUUGGUCAAACUCAUACUGGUAGCUUCAAGAACACUAUGCAACCAUCUCGUCCUCUGUCGUCCCCUUCUCCUUGUGCCCUCCAUCUUUCCCAACAUCAGGGUCUUUUCCAGGGAGUCUUCUCUUCUCAUGAGGUGGCCAAAGUAUUGGAGCCUCAGCUUCAGGAUCUGUCCUUCCAGUGAGCACUCAGGGCUGAUUUCCU
rnacentral:lncRNA from 1 species